rnacentral:sRNA from 1 species
CAGCAGCAGCAGCAGCAGCACUUGUAUAAAUUUCACCGGUUGUUCUUGGACCAGGGUAAUUGGGGAGGGAAUCUAACAUAAGGCAGAGCAAACAUUUAAGAGGAGGUAGGCGGUCAUCGCCACACUCACAUUGUCAGCGAGAAAAGAAGGCCCACAAAUGCUAAGCACAGCAUCAAACAACAAUGUAAUGUGAUGUGUAUGAAUAAAUGAAUGAACAAGUGCUCGCCAUGAAGAUAAUGAUGACGACGAUGACGAUUAUGAUAGCUGGGAAAAUAACAGCAGCAUCCCCACCGUCAAAGAGAAUUCAUAUCAGCAAAACAAAAAAACGUCUUGUUGCCAGCAAGUAGACAGACAGAAAAACAUGAUGAUUUGUAGAAAAGUUUUCUUCAAUUGAGCAAUUUAUUCCAGUUAAAAAUAUGGUUACAGAGAAAUAAAAAUGACUUGGAAAAAUCGAGAAAAUCCUUACAAAAUGUUAA